rnacentral:lncRNA from 1 species
UUUAUAUGAGAGGGAAUUAGUUCUUUGCAGAUGAGUUCCCUUCAGUCUCUGGAGGUUGCUCUGAACUCUGUUAGCUCUUCUCUCACUAUCUUUUUCCCCAGGAUUUUUUUGGGAGAUGGAAGUCUAGAAUUUAUAACCUGAUUUUUGUGACUUUGUGGGCUCAAAAGAGAGAGGUCCAAGUCCAAGAUUUUUCUGUUAUAUUUUAUUUAUUUAUUUAU